UGGGGAAUAUUGCACAAUGGGGGAAACCCUGAUGCAGCAACGCCGCGUGAGUGAUGAAGGCCUUCGGGUUGUAAAGCUCUGUCUUUGGGGACGAUAAUGACGGUACCCAAGGAGGAAGCCACGGCUAACUACGUGCCAGCAGCCGCGGUAAUACGUAGGUGGCAAGCGUUGUCCGGAUUUACUGGGCGUAAAGGAUGCGUAGGCGGAUAUUUAAGUGAGAUGUGAAAUACCCGGGCUCAACUUGGGUGCUGCAUUUCAAACUGGAUAUCUAGAGUGCAGGAGAGGAAAGUGGAAUUCCUAGUGUAGCGGUGAAAUGCGUAGAGAUUAGGAAGAACAUCAGUGGCGAAGGCGACUUUCUGGACUGUAACUGACGCUGAGGCAUGAAAGCGUGGGGAGCAAACAGG
rnacentral:rRNA from 2 species